AGCUGAUGCAUCUUGUGGUUUCUCUCCCAGUACCACCGCAUUAGCUGUUCCCCUCUGGAGGUUUUUUGACCUUCACAAUUAUAAGGGCCCUGGUUUUCCGGUGGCCCUCUUUU
rnacentral:sRNA from 3 species